AGCAAGUGACCAUAUGUGGAAGAAAGAAAGAAAAACCAUGAGAGCUGGCAUUGCCUGAUAACAUCCCACACUCACAAUGAAGACUCUCAGCGUGACGUUUUUCUCUCUGCUAACCUCUCCAGAGUUGGACAGUCUCCACAGGCUUCCGGAACGGAACAGCACCAGCACCAGGGGGCCGUGUGAGCCUAGAGGACACUUUACAUCCAAGCGCUUCUCCAGGGGCAGAUGCAGGCAGAUGCCAAGCAGAUGGUGAAUGGCGCACACCCAGCUAUCUGUGGACCCUGGAGGAUGACUCCCUCCUGCGACUCUACUUGAUACAUAGGCUCCUCCCCCUGAGCUCCCUUAGCACAGCCAAAGUCAAAGACUCUCCUUUUAAACUAAGUACAGAUCUCACACAUCCUUCUCCAGAGUCUAGCCCAAUGUAGCUAGGUCCCAUGUGCAAUGUUCCACCUUUGUCUGGCCACCCCUGCAUGUACCUAUAUCUAUGAUUCCUCCAGAAUGUGCCCCUCCCGCCAGCACUCACGGGUCCCCUCUGUGCUUCAUCUAACCUCUCCACAGAGAUAGGAUCACGAACAUUCUCGAGGACCUAGCCUGGUGAGGUUCCCUGACUCUCCCAUCCACACCUUCCCCACAAUGUAUUAGAUUAAACCUGGGCAGUAGAAAGACCAUGAGUCCCCCACUUUUUACAAAGAACUACAGGCAAUUAAGAAUGCUGAUAGUGAGAGAGUCUUCCCCAGGGAAGGGCGCACCAAUUCAUAUCCAAAAUCAAACGCUCAGCCCUGAAAACAUACACCCAAACAGCAUUACAGAGACCGAGCGGGUUAUGUUUAGAAA